rnacentral:vault_RNA from 1 species
GCGUCGGUUUAGCUCAGUGGUUUCUUCAAAGAACAGAUUGUUUCUCUUCCGAUCCCGUUUCGGCGGGGUUCAAAUCACGGGCGCUGUCUGAUGCUUUU